GGACCUCUGUGGCUAGUUCGUACAAACGUUCAGUCGUGGACACAGCACGCGUAUGGCUAGCGCGUAGACUUUUUGUUGUACUGAAGUGCAAAGGAAGGAUAAAAACAGGAAGAAACUUCGCUGUAAACUAAGGACAUUAUAGGAAACUGUCUCCUAUGCAUAGGAAAUCUGUGCUCAGUUGAGAAAGUGCCUUUCUCUACUGGUGCAUGUUUAAAUCGGAGGAGAACAUUAGUGCCGUGAGUCGGCCAGACAACUGAUUUCAAAGCUAGCGGCAACACCAGAGCGGAGGCAUGAUUUUGAGACGGAGUUUGGCCGUUGCCGCUAUCAGCCUUCAUGCUUUUUUACUUAGCUUUCUCAUCAAGGUGUCGGAUGCAUCGGGGCAAUUCGAAUUGCAGAUCAUAUCGAUGCAAAACCUGAAUGGAGAGUUGCUGAACGGCCAAUGCUGCGACGGAUCUCGGAACACGGCGGAUCGAAAAUGCACGAGGGAUGAAUGUGAUACCUUUUUCAAAGUGUGCCUGAAGGAAUACCAGUCCAGGGUGUCCGCUGCCGGGCCGUGCAGUUUUGGAGCUGGAUCUACGCCCGUAUUGGGAGGGAAUACAUUUUCUUUGAAGAGUACAGCGAGGAAUGAAAGAUCCAGGAUAGUUUUGCCGUUCAGUUUCGCCUGGCCGAGGUCGUACACGUUAAUAGUGGAAGCCAUGGACUUCAAUAACAACACCAGUGGUGAGUAUCUGUCUUCCUGUCUGUUUCUUUCUUUUCCUGUUGUAGUCCUCUCUCUCUCUCCCCCCUCACUCCAUCUCAUUAACUCUCCGCCUCUCUCUCUCUCUCCCCCUCCCUCUCUCUCAUGUUAACCUUUGGGGUUAGUGUGUUGGAGGCCAAGAAUGGAAGUUUAUUUUUCCUGAACCGCCUGCCCCCUCCCACCUCCCACACAGCCUGGGGAAUGUGUGUGUGUGUGUGUGUGUGUGCAGGGAGUGUGUUGACAGGUGCGUGUGACAGGACAGGGAAGAGGAAGCAGAAGGUAGUACAGUAGUCAAACUGUGUGUGUGUGA